rnacentral:rRNA from 1 species
GACGAACGCUGGCGGCGUGCUUAACACAUGCAAGUCGAACGAUGAAGCUGGAGCUUGCUCCGGUGGAUUAGUGGCGAACGGGUGAGUAACACGUGAGCAAUCUGCCCUUGACUCUGGGAUAACUGCGGGAAACUGUAGCUAAUACCGGAUACUUUCCUUGGUGGGCAUCCACUGGGGAAGAAAGAAUUUCGGUCAAGGAUGAGCUCGCGGCCUAUCAGCUAGUUGGUGAGGUAAUGGCUCACCAAGGCGACGACGGGUAGCCGGCCUGAGAGGGUGACCGGCCACACUGGAACUGAGACACGGUCCAGACUCCUACGGGAGGCAGCAGUGGGGAAUAUUACACAAUGGGCGAAAGCCUGAUGCAGCAACGCCGCGUGAGGGACGAAGGCCUUCGGGUUGUAAACCUCUUUUAGCAGGGAAGAAGCGAAAGUGACGGUACCUGCAGAAAAAGCACCGGCUAACUACGUGCCAGCAGCCGCAGUAA